UGGGGAAUUUUGGACAAUGGGGGAAACCCUGAUCCAGCCAUCCCGCGUGUGCGAUGAAGGCCUUCGGGUUGUAAAGCACUUUUGGCAGGAAAGAAACGUCGCGGGUUAAUACCCCGCGAAACUGACGGUACCUGCAGAAUAAGCACCGGCUAACUACGUGCCAGCAGCCGCGGUAAUACGUAGGGUGCAAGCGUUAAUCGGAAUUACUGGGCGUAAAGCGUGCGCAGGCGGUUCGGAAAGAAAGAUGUGAAAUCCCAGAGCUUAACUUUGGAACUGCAUUUUUAACUACCGGGCUAGAGUGUGUCAGAGGGAGGUGGAAUUCCGCGUGUAGCAGUGAAAUGCGUAGAUAUGCGGAGGAACACCGAUGGCGAAGGCAGCCUCCUGGGAUAACACUGACGCUCGUGCACGAAAGCGUGGGGAGCAAACAGGAUUAGAUACCCUGGUAGUCCACGCCCUAAACGAUGUCAACUAGCUGUUGGGGCCUUCGGGCCUUGGUAGCGCAGCUAACGCGUGAAGUUGACCGCCUGGGGAGUACGGUCGCAAGAUUAAAACUCAAAGGAAUU
rnacentral:rRNA from 1 species